rnacentral:lncRNA from 1 species
GGUGAGCGCAGGUACACAGACCAGGAAGUAUCUCUGCUCCUAACCUCUCUUUAUGUAUGCAUGAAGCUAAUUGUUCAAGUCCAGGGGAAACUGGUGAGAGACGGAGUUUCACCAUGUUGCCUGAGAAUCAUGUGAUCCUCCCAGCAAUUUGAAUGGACACAAAACUAUGUUUGAAAUACAAUAGGUGAAGAACAAACCCAGAAUCCCUACACUGAACUGCUAGUACUGAAGGCUCAUCAUGAUAUUGUACGAUUUCUGGUACAGUUAGAUGACUACAGAUUUGCAUCUGCUGGUGAUGAUGGAAUUGUAGUUGUGUGGAAUGCCCAGACAGGGGAAAAACUUUUAGAACUGAAUGGACACACUCAAAAGAUAACAGCUAUUAUUACAUUUCCUUCCUUGGAAUCUUGUGAAGAGAAAAAUCAACUCAUCUUGACAGCCUCUGCUGAUAGAACAGUUAUUGU